rnacentral:rRNA from 1 species
UACGAAGGGGGCUAGCGUUGCUCGGAAUUACUGGGCGUAAAGCGCACGUAGGCGGCUUCUUAAGUCGGUGGUGAAAUCCUGGAGCUCAACUCCAGAACUGCCUUCGAUACUGGGAAGCUCGAGUCCGGGAGAGGUGAGUGGAACUGCGAGUGUAGAGGCGAAAUUCGUAGAUAUUCGCAAGAACACCAGUGGCGAAGGCGGCUCACUGGCCCGGUACUGACGCUGAGGUGCGAAAGCGUGGGGAGCAAACAGG